rnacentral:rRNA from 1 species
CCUACGGGUGGCUGCAGUAGGGAAUUUUGCGCAAUGGGCGAAAGCCUGACGCAGCAACGCCGCGUGAUCGAGACGCCCUUCGGGGUGUAAAGGUCUGUCAGGUGGGGUGAAACUUUACGGUACCCACAGAGGAAGCCCCGGCUAACUCCGUCCCAGCAGCCGCGGUCAUACGGGGGGUGCAAGCGUUGUCCGGAUUCAUUGGGCGUAAAGAGUUCGUAGGCGGCAGUGAAAGUCUGGUGUUAAAGGAAGAGGCUCAACUUCUGUACGGCACUGGAUACUUGCGGGCUAGAAUGCGGGAGAGGUAAAGGGAAUGCCUGGUGUAGCGGUGAAAUGCGUAGAGAUCAGGAGGAACAGCGGUGGCGUAGGCGCUUUACGGGGCCGUAAUUGACGCUGAGGAACGAAAGCCAGGGUAGCAAAUGGGAUUAGAUACCCGGGUAGUC